GAGAAGAAAUUGAACAUAGAAUACGAUCUGAAUAUGAAAGAGAUUUCAACUCUUGAACAAUCAAUGAAGGUGAAGAGAAUUGCUACAGAUGAUUCCAAGAGAAAACUGAGUUUUAAAGGAUGAAGAUUUUGAUGCCAUGGAUUGCCAGCUCAUUGAUGCCAUGGAUCACCAGCUCAUCAAUUCAUGCCAUGGAUCGCCAGCUCAUCAAUCUUCCUCUGCUCCAGAUUCUUCAGCUAACGACUCUCCUCUCGCUCUAGCUUCCUCUGUUCCAGCCUUCUCUGCCUCAGUUACUUCGCUAAGUCUGAUUCUUCCACUAUUAUUAGCUCCUGUGUUUAAUUGCUCUUUUGAUAUCUGUUUUAUCUCUCUAACAUCCCCCCUCAAAUUGGGAAUAGGUAGAGUACAAAUUCCCAAUUUGGUUCUCAUAUAAGAAUGUACACUUCGUGUCAGUGAUUUGGUGAAAAUAUCAGCUAAUU